rnacentral:rRNA from 1 species
UACAGAGACUGCAAGCGUUAUUCGGAUUCACUGGGCGUAAAGGGUGCGUAGGUGGUGGGGUAAGUCGGAUGUGAAAUCUCCGAGCUCAACUCGGAAAUUGCAUUGGAAACUACCCUGCUUGAGGGUCGGAGGGGGGACUGGAAUUCUCGGUGUAGCAGUGAAAUGCGUAGAUAUCGAGAGGAACACCAGUGGCGAAGGCGAGUCCCUGGACGACUCCUGACACUGAGGCACGAAAGCUAGGGGAGCAAACAGG